GAUGAACGCUGGCGGCGUGCCUAAUACAUGCAAGUCGAGCGAACAGAUGAGAAGCUUGCUUCUCUGAUGUUAGCGGCGGACGGGUGAGUAACACGUGGGUAACCUACCUAUAAGACUGGGAUAACUCCGGGAAACCGGGGCUAAUACCUGAUAAUAUUUUGAACCGCAUGGUUCAAUAGUGAAAGACGGCUUCGGCUGUCACUUAUAGAUGGACCCGCGCCGUAUUAGCUAGUUGGUAAGGUAAUGGCUUACCAAGGCAACGAUACGUAGCCGACCUGAGAGGGUGAUCGGCCACACUGGAACUGAGACACGGUCCAGACUCCUACGGGUGGCAG
rnacentral:rRNA from 1 species